rnacentral:tRNA from 1 species
GGUCCCUUAGCUCAGGUGGAUAGAGCGACAGAUUCCUAAUCUGUAGGCCGCUGGUUCGAGUCCAGCAGGGAUCACCA